GACGAACGCUGGCGGCGUGCCUAAUACAUGCAAGUAGAACGCUGAAGGAGGAGCUUGCUUCUCUGGAUGAGUUGCGGACGGGUGAGUAACGCGUAGGUAACCUGCCUGGUAGCGGGGGAUAACUAUUGGAAACGAUAGCUAAUACCGCAUAAUAGUAGAUGUUGCAUGACAUUUGCUUAAAAGGUGCAAUUGCAUCACUACCAGAUGGACCUGCGUUGUAUUAGCUAGUUGGUGGGGUAACGGCUCACCAAGGCGACGAUACAUAGCCGACCUGAGAGGGUGAUCGGCCACACUGGGACUGAGACACGGCCCAGACUCCUACGGGAGGCAGCAGUAGGGAAUCUUCGGCAAUAGACGGAAGUCUGACCGAGCAACGCCGCGUGAGUGAAGAAGGUUUUUGGAUCGUAAAGCUCUGUUGUAAGAGAAGAACGAGUGUGAGAGUGGAAAGUUCACACUGUGACGAUAUCUUACCAGAAAGGGACGGCUAACUACGUGC
rnacentral:rRNA from 1 species